GCCUUGAUUUAUUGACGAAUGUAUUUUCUAUUUGCCAAUUAUGCUAAAAUAGAUUUUUUUUACAUAUUUUGAAUUAUUGUACUAAAGUGCAGUUUUGAUGAGCAUCCAUCGUCACUAUCGAUAUGUCUUGUUUUUCAUAAAUACAUGUACAUUUUUCUAAGAUGAUUUUUUAAAUGAUCUCUGCUUUCAUUUAAUAUUAUAAUUGCAGACCUCGUGUAGCCGACAAAAGAGGGGGAUUCAAAAGAGAGCGUCUGGGCGACAACGAUCAAUGAUUCCCGCGACAAUAAGCAAUGUGCUGUACGUAGCUGAUGCACAUUCUAGCGGGACCUUGCAAUGUAUCCUUGACUUCCCCAUGACAGUCAUCCUUUACUGUGAUAAUUGCCAUAACAAGGGCUGCACGAGGAUAAUGUAUAGGUUAUAUACAGCGGCUAUAAAACGAAGGAAAUACAUAUACAAUGAACAAAGUCAAAUAUUAACUGUGUAAUUAAUAUGUAAACGUAGUUAUAUACUAGUAUAUAUUUAUGAUAUAUACAAACAUAUACAACGGUAAACUAUGUAAAAUUGUUUUUUAUCUAAAGUACAUAAACAUACAAUACAUAUUUUCAGUAUUAUCUUUCAUAUAUGUGCAUUGCUUGUCGUUAUUACUAAAGAUAACCAGUAUACGUGUGUAUACACGUAUUUGCUUUUGUAAAAUUUAAAACAUAAAUUUCUACCUUUGUAGCUCAUGGGCGAUAACCUUAGAAAUUCUUAGUAGUAUUUUUUAUAAAUGUUUAUGUAUUUAUUUGUUUGUUUAUUUAUUUUGUUUUGCUAAUUUGCACAAUGUGCACUUUAACUGAGAAAUUGUUGCUGCAAGUUAGUGUUUCUUUAGAAAAACAAUAAAUAUUGAGAGAAGGCA